GAUGAACGCUGGCGGCGUGCCUAACACAUGCAAGUCGAGCGAACAGAUGAGGAGCUUGCUCCUCUCACGUUAGCGGCGGACGGGUGUGUAACACGUGUAUACCCUACUUAUAUGUCUGGUAUAUUUUCGGGAAACCGGAUCUUACACCGGAUAAUCUCUUGAUCCGUAUGGUUCAAUAGUGAAAGUCGGUUUUGCUGUCACUUAUAGAUGGAUCUGGGCCGCAUUAGCUAGUUGGUAAGGUAACGGCUUACCAAGGCAACGAUGCGUAGCCGACGUGAGAGAGGGGUCGGCCGCACUGGAACGGGGACGCGGUCCAGGCGCCUACGAGAGGCAGCAGUCGGGAAUCUUCCGCAGUGGGGGGGAGCCUGACGGAGCGACGCCGCGUGAGUGAUGAAGGUCUUCGGAUCGUAAUGCUCUGUUAUUAGGGAAAAACAGAUGUGGAAGUAGCUGUGCACGUCUUGACGGUACCUAGUCAAAAAGCCACGGCUAACUACGUG
rnacentral:rRNA from 1 species